rnacentral:rRNA from 1 species
UACGGGGGGGGCAAGCGUUGUUCGGAAUUACUGGGCGUAAAGGGCUUGUAGGUGGCCAACUAAGUCAGACGUGAAAUCCCUCAGCUUAACUGGGGAACUGCGUCUGAUACUGGAUGGCUUGAGUUUGGGAGAGGGACGCGGAAUUCCAGGUGUAGCGGUGAAAUGCGUAGAUAUCAGGAAGAACACCCGUGGCUAAGGCGGCUCUCUGGGCCAUUACUGACGCUGAGGAGCGAAAGCGUGGGGAGCGAACAGG